GACGAACGCUGGCGGCGUGCUUAACACAUGCAAGUCGAACGAUGAACCGGAGCUUGCUCUGGGGGAUUAGUGGCGAACGGGUGAGUAACACGUGGGCAACCUGCCCCAGACACCGGGAUAACCAUUCGAAAGGAUGGCUAAUAACCGGAUACGACCACUUCGGGCAUCCGAUGGUGGUGGAAAGGAUUCUGGUCUGGGAUGGGCCCGCGGCCUAUCAGCUUGUUGGUGGGGUAAUGGCCUACCAAGGCGACGACGGGUAGCCGGCCUGAGAGGGCGACCGGCCACACUGGGACGUGAGACACGGCCCACGACUCCUACGGGAGGCAGCAGUGGGGAAGUAUUGCGCAAUGGGCGAAAGUCUGACGCAGCGACGCCGCGUGAGGGACGAAGGUCUUCGGA
rnacentral:rRNA from 1 species